rnacentral:rRNA from 1 species
GCACGUCGAGCGGUAACAGGGAGCUUGCUCCGCUGACGAGUGGCGAACGGGUGAGUAAUAUAUCGGAACGUACCUAGUAAUGGGGGAUAACUAGUCGAAAGAUUAGCUAAUACCGCAUACGCCCUAAGGGGGAAAGAGGGGGAUCGCAAGACCUCUUGUUAUUAGAGCGGCCGAUAUCUGAUUAGCUAGUUGGUGAGGUAAAGGCUCACCAAGGCGACGAUCAGUAGCUGGUCUGAGAGGACGACCAGCCACACUGGAACUGAGACACGGUCCAGACUCCUACGGGAGGCAGCAGUGGGGAAUUUUGGACAAUGGGGGCAACCCUGAUCCAGCAAUGCCGCGUGAGUGAAGAAGGCCUUCGGGUUGUAAAGCUCUUUUGUCAGGGAAGAAACGGUGAGGGCUAAUAUCCUUUGCUAAUGACGGUACCUGAAGAAUAAGCACCGGCUAACUACGUGCCAGCAGCCGCGGUAAUACGUAGGGUGCAAGCGUUAAUCGGAAUUACUGGGCGUAAAGCGUGCGCAGGCGGUUGUGUAAGACAGGUGUGAAAUCCCCGGGCUUAACCUGGGAAUGGCAUUUGUGACUGCACGGCUAGAGUGUGUCAGAGGGGGGUAGAAUUCCACGUGUAGCAGUGAAAUGCGUAGAGAUGUGGAGGAAUACCGAUGGCGAAGGCAGCCCCCUGGGAUAACACUGACGCUCAUGCACGAAAGCGUGGGGAGCAAACAGGAUUAGAUACCCUGGUAGUCCACGCCCUAAACGAUGUCUACUAGUUGUCGGGUCUUAAUUGACUUGGUAACGCAGCUAACGCGUGAAGUAGACCGCCUGGGGAGU